rnacentral:rRNA from 1 species
ACUCCUACGGGAGGCAGCAGUGGGGAAUAUUGCACAAUGGGCGCAAGCCUGAUGCAGCAACGCCGUGUGAGUGAAGAAGGUUUUCGGAUCGUAAAACUCUGUCCUAAGGGAAGAAACAAAUGACGGUACCUUAGGAGGAAGCCCCGGCUAACUACGUGCCAGCAGCCGCGGUAAUACGUAGGGGGCAAGCGUUAUCCGGAAUCACUGGGCGUAAAGGGUGCGUAGGCGGCUUAGCAAGCCAGGGGUGAAAGGCAUUGGCUCAACCAAUGUAAGCCUUUGGAACUGUUAAGCUUGAGUGCAGGAGAGGUAAGUGGAAUUCCUAGUGUAGAGGUGAAAUUCGUAGAUAUUAGGAGGAACACCAGUGGCGAAGGCGACUUACUGGACUGUAACUGACGCUGAUGCACGAAAGCUGGGGUAGCGAACAGGAUUAGAUACCCUGGUAGCACAGAG